rnacentral:misc_RNA from 1 species
GAUGAAGAACGUAGCGAAAUGCGAUAAGUAGUGUGAAUUGCAGAAUUCAGUGAAUCAUCGAAUCUUUGAACGCACAUUGCACCUCUCGGUAUUCCGGGAGGUAUGCCUGUUCGAGCGUCAUUUGUACCCUCAAGCUCUGCUUGGUGUUGGGUGUUUGUUCCGCCUCUGUGUGUGAACUCGCCUCAAAACAAUUGGCAGCCGGCGUACUUGUUUCGGAGCGCAGCACAUUUUGCGAUCCAGAUCAACGUACAGCGGCAUCCAAGAAGCCUUAUUUAACGCUCUUGACCUCGGAUCAGGUAGGGAUACCCGCUGAACUUAAGCAUAUCAAAAGCGGAGGA